AGUAUUUGAUGAUAAACCCUUUUCAGUUCUGCUUCUGAACCAAAAUCUUCAUGAAGUUAACAAAAAUACCAAAACAAUAACUGACAC
rnacentral:snoRNA from 1 species